rnacentral:rRNA from 1 species
AUUGAACGCUGGCGGUAUGCUUAACACAUGCAAGUCGAACGAUGAGAAAGAGCUUGCUCUUUCGAUUAGUGGCGGACGGGUGCGUAACGCGUAGGAAUCUACCUAUUAGUGGGGGACAACUUAGGGAAACUUAAGCUAAUACCGCAGACGACCUACGGGGGAAAGAAGGGGAUCGCAAGACCUUUUGCUAAUAGAUGAGCCUGCGUAGGAUUAGAUAGUUGGUGGGGUAAAAGCUCACAAAGGCGACGUUCCUUAACUGUUUUGGGGGAAUGAUCAGUCACACUGGAACUGAGACACGGUCCAGACUCCUACGGGAGGCAGAAGUGGGGAAUAUUGGACAAUGGGCGAAAGCCUGAUCCAGCAAUACCGCGUGUGUGAAGAAGGCCUUAGGGUUGUAAAGCACUUUCAAUUGGAAGGAAAACCUCGAAGCUAAUACCUUCGAGUUUGACAUUACCUUUAGAAGAAGCACCGGCUAACUCCGUGCCAGCCGCCGCCGUAA